rnacentral:lncRNA from 1 species
CCGCCCCCCUGCCCAUCUCCUCCUCUCUCAAUUCUUGCAGCCACCAAACCCUAGCCGCCGCCCCUCUCAAUCCCCUCCUCCCAAGGUGCCAAUCCUUGCCGCUCGGAUCAUCGUCGUCGUGGUGCGAGUCUUCAAUCGUUCUGGUGGAGGGAAGAAGGGAGGAAGGAAAGGGGGAGAAUCCAAGGUGAUUUUUGUGUUCAUCCCUUGUUCAUUUGCGCUGCAAUUUAAUUGAUUAGAGGUUGCGUUUGCGAUUGGGGUAGAGGGGGGCUGUCCAGAAUUUUAGGUGGUGGGUGAACAGCAGUAGUCUAGCAGUUUCUGUAUUUCUUUCGUGAGGAAUUAAGGGAAAUCAGUUUGGGGAUCAUGUAGAACUUUACCUUACCUUUCCAACGAGUAUUUAUGCGCUCAAUUUGGAGUUAUAAAUUGAAAGUUACCACCGUUUGAAUCCGGGUAUGUGGCUGUCCAAAAAAACAGAUUUUUCAGGGGAUGAACAGCAGCAGUAUUAGCAGUUUCUGGGAAUUUUUCGUGGGUAAUUAGUGUUAAUCAGUAUGAGAAUCAUGUAGGGCUUUAUGUUAUCUUUCCAACAAGUACUUAUGCGCUUGAUUCGGAGUUAUAAUUCAGGAGAUAUCGUUGUUUGAAUCCGGUUAUGUUGCUGUCCAAAAAAACAGAUUUUUCAGGUGGGUGAACAGCAGUGGUAUUAGCAGUUUCUGGGUAUUUUUCAUGGGUAAUUAGUGUUAAUCAGUAUGAGAAUCAUGUAGGGCUUUAUGUUAUCUUUCGAACAAGUACUUAUGCGCUCGAUUCGGAGUUAUAAUUCAGGAGAUAUCGUUGUUUGAAUCCGGUUAUGUUGCUGUCCAAAAAAAACAGAUUUUUCAGGUGGGUGAACAGCAGUGGUAUUAGCAGUUUCUGGAAAUUUUUCGUGGGUAAUUAGUGUUAACCAGUAUGGUAAUCAUGUAGGGAUUUGUCUUAUCUUUCCAAUGAGUACUUAUGCGCUUGAUUUGGAAUUAUAUUUUAAAAGAUAUCGCUGUUUGAAUCUGGGUAUGUCGCUGUCCAAAAGACAAAGAAAAACAGAUUACAGGGUUCAUCUUGUGGACUGUUUUGGGCUAAUUAGAUAUUGGAAUUUAAUUAUAAAUUGUAUACAAAACUUGUGGGGAAUUUUAUGUAGAUGCCUCUGGAGUUUUUGUUUGUUACCACUGCUGUCAUACUUUUAAAGUUAUGAAAUUAUUAAGCAGCGCCGCUGCAGUUUGGUGGGUGUAGGGAGAGAUGUAACCCACGGUGGGGUUUGAGUUUGUGCGUAGGUGCGGCAUCGCUUAUGAGCCUGAUUAUGUGAAAUUGGUGUACUAAGUUGGGUGUCAAAAACAGGUGGUGGACUUCCGGAUCGUACUUAGGAAUUUGCCCGAACUUCCGGUAAAG